UGCAACUGUGAUUUUAAAAAAUAAAUUAUUAAACAAUUAUUGUUUACUUCAUAACAUUGAAUGCAAGUGGCCCAUUCUUGACCUCUUAACGUUGUUCCAUAUCUUAUCCAAAAAAAAAAAAAAAAAUUGUUCCAUAUAAAGAACAAAAAUAAUUUAAUGGCAUCAAGGCCCAGUGAAUUGGGACCAAGAGCAAUUGAGGGACCCAUGAAAAAGACACAGGGCAAGUGGAGUAGGAAAAUCAAAGAUCCCAAGUGCACGUGGAAAAAGCUGGAAUUUUACCUAAAAAAAGAAAAAUCCAGCUACCCUACAACUGUUGUAAACUACCAUCAAUUUUUGUUUUUUGUGACGUUAAAUUUCAUUUGACCCCUUAUUUUUUUACAAGAUAUUUAUAAGUUUAUGUGCACGGCUGGCGAUGUUUUAAAAUUACAUUUU
rnacentral:lncRNA from 1 species